UUUUGUGCAUAUACCUGGUCUUUCGUAUUCUGGCGUGAAAUCGCCGACUGAAUGCCAGCAAUCUCUUUUUGAGUCUCAUUUUGCAUCUCGGCAAUCUCUUUCUGAUUGUCCAGUUGCCUUUUAGUAAGCUCUUUUUGAUUCUCAAAUCCGGCGUCAACCAUACCAGCAGAGGAAGCAUCAGCACCAGCACGCUCCCAAGCAUUAAGCUCAGGAAAUGCAGCAGCAAGAUAAUCA
rnacentral:rRNA from 1 species